AUUGAACGCUGGCGGCAGGCUUAACACAUGCAAGUCGAGCGGGGAAGGGUAGCUUGCUACCUGACCUAGCGGCGGACGGGUGAGUAAUGCUUAGGGAUCUGCCUAUUAGUGGGGGACAACAUUCCGAAAGGAAUGCUAAUACCGCAUACGCCCUACGGGGGAAAGCAGGGGAUCUUCGGACCUUGCGCUAAUAGAUGAGCCUAAGACAGAUUAGCUAGUUGGUGGGGUAAAGGCCUACCAAGGCGACGAUCUGUAGCGGGUCUGAGAGGAUGAUCCGCCACACUGGGACUGAGACACGGCCCAGACUCCUACGGGAGGCAGCAGUGGGGAAUAUUGGACAAUGGGCGAAAGCCUGAUCCAGCCAUGCCGCGUGUGUGAAGAAGGCCUUUUGGUUGUAAAGCACUUUAAGCGAGGAGGAGGCUACCGAGAUUAAUACUCUUGGAUAGUGGACGUUACUCGCAGAAUAAGCACCGGCUAACUCUGUGCCAGCCGCCGCAGUAAAAC
rnacentral:rRNA from 1 species